GUGUUUGCUUGACAGCAUACAAACUAAAAUUGGAAUGAUAAAGAUUAGUAGCAUGGCCCCUACAACUGAGGGACACAUAAAUUUGUAAAGAGUGAUAUAUUUUU